rnacentral:lncRNA from 1 species
UUGGGGGUCUUCCUGACGCUCCAAUGGUCUUUCUUCUCACAUAGAGAGGACUGAACCAUGUGGUGAGGAGUAGCAGGAGGUCUUAGUUUUAAAGGCUUCCAUCAUGCUCCAAGGCGCGAAACAGACUAACCUCGUGAGUGUGGCAGGGCGGGGGAGCUCAUGGCGGGAGAGCCUAAGUAUCACAAGCCACCAUAGGUGC